rnacentral:rRNA from 1 species
AGGAAUAUUGGUCAAUGGACGAGAGUCUGAACCAGCCAAGUAGCGUGAAGGAUGAAGGUCCUACGGAUUGUAAACUUCUUUUAUAAGGGAAUAAACCCUCCCACGUGUGGGAGCUUGUAUGUACCUUAUGAAUAAGCAUCGGCUAACUCCGUGCCAGCAGCCGCGGUAAUACGGAGGAUGCGAGCGUUAUCCGGAUUUAUUGGGUUUAAAGGGAGCGCAGACGGGUCGUUAAGUCAGCUGUGAAAGUUUGGGGCUCAACCUUAAAAUUGCAGUUGAUACUGGCGUCCUUGAGUGCGGUUGAGGUGUGCGGAAUUCGUGGUGUAGCGGUGAAAUGCUUAGAUAUCACGAAGAACUCCGAUUGCGAAGGCAGCACACUAAUCCGUAACUGACGUUCAUGCUCGAAAGUGUGGGUAUCAAACAGGAUUAGAUACCCUGGUAGUCCACACGGUAAACGAUGGAUACUCGCUGUUGGCGAUAUACUGUCAGCGGCUUAGCGAAAGCGUUAAGUAUCCCACCUGGGGAGUACGCCGGCAACGGUGAAACUCAAAGGAAUUGACGGGGGCCCGCACAAGCGGAGGAACAUGUGGUUUAAUUCGAUGAUACGCGAGGAACCUUACCCGGGCUUAAAUUGCAAAGGAAUAAUCUGGAAACAGGUUAGUCUUCGGACCUUUGUGAAGGUGCUGCAUGGUUGUCGUCAGCUCGUGCCGUGAGGUGUCGGCUUAAGUGCCAUAACGAGCGCAACCCUCGCCGCCAGUUACUAACAGUUAAAGCUGAGGACUCUGGCGGGACUGCCAUCGUAAGAUGUGAGGAAGGUGGGGAUGACGUCAAAUCAGCACGGCCCUUACGUCCGGGGCUACACACGUGUUACAAUGGGCGGUACAGAAGGCAGCUACCUGGCGACAGGAUGCCAAUCCCUAAAGCCGCUCUCAGUUCGGACUGGAGUCUGCAACCCGACUCCACGAAGCUGGAUUCGCUAGUAAUCGCGCAUCAGCCACGGCGCGGUGAAUACGUUCCCG